AUUUAUAUAGUUUAAUAAGAAAAAACAUUACAUUUUCAAUGUAAAAUUAAUUCAUUUUUAUAAAUA
rnacentral:tRNA from 1 species